rnacentral:rRNA from 1 species
AGUGAACGCUGGCGGUAGGCCUAACACAUGCAAGUCGAACGGCAGCACAGUAAGAGCUUGCUCUUACGGGUGGCGAGUGGCGGACGGGUGAGGAAUACAUCGGAAUCUACUUUUUCGUGGGGGAUAACGUAGGGAAACUUACGCUAAUACCGCAUACGACCUACGGGUGAAAGCAGGGGAUCUUCGGACCUUGCGCGAUUGAAUGAGCCGAUGUCGGAUUAGCUAGUUGGCGGGGUAAAGGCCCACCAAGGCGACGAUCCGUAGCUGGUCUGAGAGGAUGAUCAGCCACACUGGAACUGAGACACGGUCCAGACUCCUACGGGAGGCAGCAGUGGGGAAUAUUGGACAAUGGGCGCAAGCCUGGUCCAGCCAUACCGCGUGGGUGAAGAAGGCCUUCGGGUUGGAGAGCCCUUUUGUUGGGAAAGAAAAGCAGCAGGUUAAUACCCCGCUGUUCUGACGGUACCCAAAGAAUAAGCACCGGCUAACUUCGUG